UACGGGGGGAGCAAGCGUUGUUCGGAUUUACUGGGCGUAAAGGGCGCGUAGGCGGCGUAACAAGUCACUUGUGAAAUCUCCGGGCUUAACUCGGAGCGGUCAAGUGAUACUGUUGUGCUAGAGUCCGGAAGAGGAGAGUGGAAUUCCUGGUGUAGCGGUGAAAUGCGCAGAUAUCAGGAAGAACACCCGUGGCGAAGGCGGCUCUCUGGUACGUGACUGACGCUGAGACGCGAAAGCGUGGGGAGCGAACAGG
rnacentral:rRNA from 1 species